UAUAUCUUAGUAUAUGAUGUAUAAAGAUUUUUGAUAUCUUAGGAAAUAGUUUAAGUCUAUUAGAUAUAU
rnacentral:tRNA from 2 species